UACGUAGGGUGCGAGCGUUGUCCGGAAUUAUUGGGCGUAAAGGGCUCGUAGGCGGUUUGUCGCGUCGGGAGUGAAAACACCGGGCUUAACUCGGUGCUUGCUUUCGAUACGGGCAGACUAGAGGCAUGCAGGGGGAGAACGGAAUUCCUGGUGUAGCGGUGAAAUGCGCAGAUAUCAGGAGGAACACCGAUGGCGAAGGCAGGUCUCUGGGCCACUACUGACGCUGAGAAGCGAAAGCGUGGGGGAGCGAACAGG
rnacentral:rRNA from 1 species